GAAAAGCUGAAAGACGGCAUCUCGCUGUCACUUACAGAUGGGCCCGCGGCGCAUUAGCUAGUUGGUGAGGUAACGGCUCACCAAGGCAACGAUGCGUAGCCGACCUGAGAGGGUGAUCGGCCACACUGGGACUGAGACACGGCCCAGACUCCUACGGGAGGCAGCAGUAGGGAAUCUUCCGCAAUGGACGAAAGUCUGACGGAGCAACGCCGCGUGAGUGAUGAAGGUUUUCGGAUCGUAAAGCUCUGUUGUUAGGGAAGAACAAGUACAAGAGUAACUGCUUGUACCUUGACGGUACCUAACCAGAAAGCCACGGCUAACUACGUGCCAGCAGCCGCGGUAAUACGUAGGUGGCAAGCGUUGUCCGGAAUUAUUGGGCGUAAAGCGCGCGCAGGCGGUCCUUUAAGUCUGAUGUGAAAGCCCACGGCUCAACCGUGGAGGGUCAUUGGAAACUGGGGGACUUGAGUGCAGAAGAGAAGAGUGGAAUUCCACGUGUAGCGGUGAAAUGCGUAGAGAUGUGGAGGAACACCAGUGGCGAAG
rnacentral:rRNA from 2 species